rnacentral:rRNA from 1 species
UACGUAGGGGGCAAGCGUUGUCCGGAAUCAUUGGGCGUAAAGAGCGCGUAGGCGGUCCGGUAAGUCAGCUGUGAAAGUCAGGGGCUCAACCCUUGAAAGCCGGUUGAUACUGUCGGGCUAGAGUCCGGAAGAGGCGAGUGGAAUUCCCGGUGUAGCGGUGAAAUGCGCAGAUAUCGGGAGGAACACCAAUAGCGAAGGCAGCUCGCUGGGACGGUACUGACGCUGAGGCGCGAAAGCGUGGGGAGCGAACAGG